AAAAUUUCGUACAAUUCAAUAUCUCGAAUGUGUCACAACUUGAGUAAGCAAUUCACUUAGAGUGAAUUGAUAUAAAGCAGAAACAACUGAAACGCCUCAAAUUUUCAACUCGAGCUAGGCUAGUUAAACUCUUAUGACUUGUUUGUAAAGAUUAGUCGAACUCAACAAAAAAUGCUAAAUUAUAUACAAAUGGGUGAAGCCCUGCAGCCUAAUAUGUAUAUAUUAGCAUGCAUUAAUGGGGUGUGGAG
rnacentral:lncRNA from 1 species